rnacentral:rRNA from 1 species
UACGGGGGGAGCAAGCGUUGUUCGGAUUUACUGGGCGUAAAGGGCGCGUAGGCGGCGCAACAAGUCACUUGUGAAAUCUCCGGGCUUAACCCGGAGCGGCCAAGUGAUACUGUCGUGCUAGAGUGCGGAAGGGGCUACUGGAAUUCUCGGUGUAGCGGUGAAAUGCGUAGAUAUCGAGAGGAACACCUGCGGCGAAGGCGGGUAGCUGGGCCGACACUGACGCUGAGGCGCGAAAGCCAAGGGAGCGAACGGG